rnacentral:rRNA from 1 species
UUGGAGGGCAAGUCUGGUGCCCGCAGCCGCGGUAAUUCCAGCUCCAAUAGCGUAUAUUAAAGUUGUUGCAGUUAAAAGCUCGUAGUUGAAUUUCGGGGUCAAUAAGUUGGUCGUGCCAAUGGUAUGUACUGGCUUUAUUGAUUCCUACCUCUUGACGAACUGUGAUGCCAUUAAUUUGGUGUUGCAGGAAAUCAGGACUGUUACCUUGAAAAAAUUAGAGUGUUUAAAGCAGGCUUACGCUUGAAUACAUUAGCAUGGAAUAAUGAAAUAGGACGUUUGAACCUAUUUUGUUGGUUUCUAGGAUCGACGUAAUGAUUAAUAGGGAUAGUUGGGGGCAUUAGUAUUCAAUUGUCAGAGGUGAAAUUCUUGGAUUUAUUGAAGACUAACUACUGCGAAAGCAUUUGCCAAGGAUGUUUUCAUUAAUCAAGAACGAAAGUUAGGGGAUCGAAGACGAUCAGAUACCGUCGUAGUCUUAACCAUAAACUAUGCCGACUAGGGAUCGGAUGAUGUUAAUUUUUUAAUGACUCAUUCGGCGCCUUACGGGAAACCAAAGUGUUUGGGUUC